rnacentral:lncRNA from 1 species
UAAUAACCUUCCUGGUAAACCAGACGGGAGUGAAUUUUAUUUAAAAUUAAAAGGUAAUUUUUAGAUUUAUUUGAUGUUUUCAAAGACUAAUGUCCUCUCUAGAUACAUUAUCACUUGUCCCUUAUACAAGGAUUACCUAAAUAUAUGAAAUCUAUAUACGUUUAUUCUAUUCAACUUUCGUUUUUGGCUCGUACAUAACAUACAUAUGUUUAUGAUUAUUUAUAUCCUGUCCCAGAUCUCUGGACAAGAUGUUGUCUUUGAUCGUUUAUAAUUUCAAUGCUAUAAACAAGGAUAUGUAUGUUUUACUAUACCAAUAGUUGGAUAUAUACUAACCAUUAUACCAAUGGGAAGAUUACUAAGAGGAUAACUUAAUUCUGGUGUACAUUGUAUGUCUUCAUACCUUAGCUUCUACCAAGGGGUCAGUUGACAAAACACCAAGGAAAUACCACCAAAUCGAAAGAAAAGUCCAAAUCUUGUAAUAGUAAUAUAUCUUUACAUGUGAAAAAAAUAUCAAAUUUCCAAAUUUUAUUUGACAUAAUUGGUUACAACAUAAUGCAAAGAACCGUAAAAAGUCAGGAAUAUGAUAGUUGUUAUCCAUUCGUUUGAUGUGUUUGGACUUUUGAUUUUGCCUUUUGAUUUUUGAUUUUCCUUUUUAGCUCACCUGGCCUAAAAGGCCAUGUGAGCUUUUCUCAUCACUUGGCGUCCGUCGUCGUCGUCUGUCGUCGUUAACAAUUUUUUUCAAACAUCUUCUCCUCCAAAACUACUGAAUGGAUUUGAAUGAAACUGAGCAUGAUUGUUCCUUAGAUUAUCCUGCACAAAGUGUGUGCUUCGAUUUUUGAUCCGUCAAAAAACAUGGCCGCCGUUACUUAAAAUAGAAAAUAGGGGUCAAAUGCAGUUUUUGGCUUGUAUCUCAAAAACGAAAGCAUUUAGAGCAAAUCUGACAUGGGGUUAAAUUGUUCAUUAGGUGAAAGAUCUAUCAGCCCUGAAAUUUUCAGAUGAAUCAAACAACCCAUUGUUGGGUUGCUGCCACUUAAUUGGUAAUUUUAAGGAAAUUUUGCAGUUUUUGGUCAUUAUCUUGAAUAUUAUUAUAGAUAAAGAUAAACUGUAAACAGCAAAAAUGAUCAGCAAAGUUAGAUCUACAAAUAAGUUAUAAUGACUAAAAUUGUCAAUUGACCCCUUUAGGGGUUAUUGUCCUUUAAUGACAAUUUUUCACAAUUUGUUCAUCAUAUUUGCUAACUUUAAAAAAUCUUCUCCUCUGAAACUAUUGAAUGGAUUUGGAUGAAACUUACCAUGAUUGUUCCUUAGAUUAUCCUGCACAAAGUUUGUGCUUUGAUUUUUGAUCCGUCAAAAAACAUGGCCGCAGUUACUUAAAAUAGAACAUAGGGGUCAAAUGCAGUUUUUGGCUUAUAUCUCAAAAACGAAAGCAUUUAGAGCAAAUCUGACAUGAGGUAAAAUGUUUAUUAGGGUAAUAUCUAUCAGCCCUGAAAUUUUCAGAUGAAUCAAACAACCCAUUGUUGGGUUGCUGCAACUUAAUUGGUAAUUUUAAGGAAAUUUUGCAGUUUUUGGUCAUUAUCUUGAAUAUUAUUAUAGAUAAAGAUAAACUGUAAACAGCAAAAAUGAUCAGCAAAGUAAGAUCUACAAAUAAGUUAAUAUGACCAAAAUUGUCAAUUGACCCCUUAAGGGGUUAUUGUCUUUUAAUGACAAUUUUUCACAAUUUGUAAAUCAUACUUGCUAACUUUAAAAAUAUUCUCCUCUAAAACUACUCAACCAAAUUCAACCAAACUUCAACUGAAUGAUCAGUAGGGUGUAUAAAAUAAAGCUUGUGCUUUAUUUUCUAUUUCGUCAAAAAACAUGGCCGUCAUGGCUAGAAAUAGAACACAGGGUAAAAUGCAGUUUUUGGCUUAUAUCUCAAAAACUCCAGCAUUUAGAGCAAAUAAGACAAGAAGUUAAAGUAUUUAUUAGGUCAGGUCUACCUGUCCUGAAUUCAGCCGAAUUGGGUAACUGGUUUUUCAGGUAUAAUGCCCCUGAAUUGAUGAUUUUAAAGAAAUUUUGCCGUUUUGGGUUAUUAUCUUGAAUAUUAUUAAGAUAAACUGUUAAUAGCAAAAAUGUUAAGCAAAGUAAGAUCUACAAAUAAGUCAUUUGACCAAAAUUGUCAAUUGGACCCUUAAGGAGUUAUUGCCCUUUAAAGACUUUUUCACAAUUUGUUCAUCAUGUUGACUUACUUUAAAAAAAUCUUCUCCUUUGAAACUGCUGUAUCAAUUUCAGCCAAACUUAGGCUAAAUGAGUUUCAGAGUAUCUAGUAUAAAUUUUAUAUUUCAUUUCCUUGUAUGUCAAAAACAUAGCUCCUAUGGCUAAAAUAGAACAUAGGAGAAAAUGAUAUUUUUUUUUGCUUUUGAAGAAAAUAGGACGAUUCAAAGAACAUUUAAAUAAAUUGAAGAGCCAAAAUAAUCAUUGAUGAGAGAUUUAACCAAAAAAUUUAAGGUGAGCGAUUCAGGCUCUUGAGAGCCUCUUGUUGAAUUUUCCUCGGGGUUCAGUAUUUUUGUGUUUUUACUUCUUAUUCUUAUUGUGUAACAAUAUAACAUGUAAUAAUAACUAAUAAAGUUUUCAAUUCAUUCUCCUAAAAAGAAAAAAGAAAAAAAAAGAAACUUAACACUUUUGAUUUAUAACAUGUUUUGUCAAUAUAUAUUAGUUUACUCCAACAAAAUUAUCAUUCAUUUUCGAAUUUAAAAACAUUUUGAAAUGGUUGCUAUGGAAACAAACUAUUUAAUAGAUUCAAAGUUUUAAAGUUUUCGAAUAGUUUGGUUUUUUUUCUGUUACAAUUUAAAUAUACAUAUUAUUUUUUUUUAUUAACAAAAUUUUGAUGGGACUUUAAAUUCCCUUAUUUUCAAUUUUAAUUUAAGCGUCUUUUUCACCUAUAUUCAGGCAAAAUGUUGUUUUGACAGUUAAAAUAGCAACGCACAUUAUAUAUAUACAGGGAAAAUAAUGACAAAAUUUACUCAUAUACCAAUGUUUUUAUCAUAUAGGGCAAACACAAAUUAAUUCUGUGACAUGUCAUAAAUCACCCUCUGCAUGAUUUUUAAAAAUACAGGUACUUUAAACCCAAGUCAAAUUGAAUUCAAUUUUAAAAUAUUUACUUUUAAAGAUAGUACCACCGACUGCAAAACUAUUGUUAUGGCUAAUCAUUUAUCAUUGAUUCUAAUUUUGUAGUGUGUUUAAUGGCUGCAUCAUCUCAAAGCUGUGGUGUUUGUGACCUCCGUCACAUCACAAAACCAUGCAUAGUCUGGUGUACAGAAUGUGACGAGGGACUAUGUUCAGAAUGCAAGGAACAUCAUAGUUUGUCUAAGUCAUCGAGAAGUCACAGUGUGAUACCUAUUGCCGAAUACCAGAAACUGCCAGCGGAUGUACUGAAAAUCACUCAGUAUUGUACCAGUCACGAUAAAAAAUAUCAAUUCUAUUGCCAGAAGCAUGAAUGUCCCUGCUGCAGCACAUGUAUCGUGGAAUGUCACAAAGAUUGCCGGGACAUUGUCGAAUUAGAGAAUAUCAUUCGUAACGCCAAAUCCUCCAAUGCUAUAUGUGCGAGAUAGAGGAAUCAUUAGUUGAGAUAUCAGAAAUUCUUAAGAAGAUUCGCCAGCAUCAACAAGACAAUCUGUUGACUUUUAAAGAAAAAAGAAAAGAAAUCGAAAAAGAACUAAAGAAAACUAGAAUGAAGAUCAACAACCACCUCGACAAACUACAAGAAGAUUUAAUGAAACAACUCAACGAGCUCGAAGAAAAAGAAAACUCUAAAAUUUGUCAGUUAAUGGCCUCGCUAGAAAAGAAAGAAAAAGAAAUAGGAGAAUGCCAAAAUAGCCUAUUGAACAUCAAGAAACACGCAACAGAUCUUCAAAUGUUUCUCUCAAUUAAGCAAAUAGAAGAGGACGUUUAUAGCAAAGAAAAAAAAUUGCAGGCUCUUGUAGAAGGCAAGGAACAGCAUACUCUUUCAUAUCAGAUCAACACCUCUAUCCAGAAUAUCAUAUCCGAUAUCAGAAGUUUUGGGGAAGUGCGUAUUGAAUCUAAUCCAUGCGACAUAGUUCUGAUCAAAAGAAGGCCAGACAAGCCCAAUUGAUGAUUCCAAUCGUUCCAACAAAAUCUAUAGAAAAUAUAAAGCUAACGAUACACAAGUCCAAGUCCAUCGACACACGAAGAAAUCCUAUUUUCGGAUGUUGCAUACUUCCAGAUGAUAGAUUGGUAUUUACUUACUACUUUGACAAACAAUUAAAAGUUUUCAGUGAUAAAGGAUCAAAAGACUUUGAGGUCAAGUGCCGAUGUAACCCGUUUGAUAUAGUAUACAUUAGAGAAGAC